AGACGACAGAUGACUGUGGCCUGGCCCAGGGUGGUGGCAGCAGGGAAGAGGAGUGGAUGGGUUGGAAAACACCGCAGGAAGUAGGGCUCGAUGAGAGAGCCAGAGUGGAAGGAGCCAAGAGAUCAAGAAGGAGAAGUUGAAGAUGCGGGGAGACAGAGCUUGAUUAUCCAGUAGGAAGCAGCCUGUGUGAGAAGAGGACCGCUCCCCACCCCCAAGUAUCCACCAAGGCCAAGGAAUGGAACUAAGAACCACAGAGGAAAGUUGGCAGAGGUGCAGAGAGAUGGGCCAUGAGACUGCACUACGCUGGAACCUCAUCCCCCUGCUCUCUAUCCCAUGAAUCCAAAAUGUGCUUUCUGCCUUGAAGCCUCUAAAGAAUUCUCUUUCCUUACCAUAUCUGUCCUCUACCUCCAGAAGCCAAUUUUUCUUUUUCUUUAUCCCAAAUGUAAUAGUACAGAAGCCAGUUUUUAUUGAGCCAGCUUGAAUGGUUUCUGUCCCACGGGACAUGAAAGGCAGUGUCUUCUAGACAAGGUGUUUGAUGAGGAAUAGCUUCCUCCUCUCCCACCUGCACCAGCCCCAAACCUUCCGACUUGUUCUGUCUGCUUCCUUCUGCCGUGCCAGCCUGCCUACCUGUUGCACCAGGUCAGUGGGCUGAGCAAUGUGUUGACAAGAGCCAGAGUGGAACAAAGAGGACACAGGGGCAUCCAUCUGUUGGGACUGGCCAGACAGAGCUGACUUCUCAAACAGGGAGGUGUGGGCCCUCCCAAGCAGGAUGCCAUUGAAAGGAAGGGGAAACAUGGGGUGGAAUUUAGGCAGCCAGGAUUUGAGAAACUCAAGCAAGAUGGCUAGUGGAAACCUUCCCUCGGUUCCACUGAGCAGCUCCGUGCAGAUUCGG
rnacentral:lncRNA from 1 species